UUCCAAUGGAUGGCAAAUUCUAGCAACGACUUAAGAAUCAUUUGGGCCUGGAUGGGAGGGAAGGCCGGGGUGAUGGGUGCCGGGGCUCGGUCUCCCUGACUGGAAGCAUCUCGGACCACUCUUUCUGGACCCUGAUGAUGAACAGGAUGGCCAAGCUGCAGGCUCACAAGCUCUUUGGCAUCAUCUCAUGCCUUCUUUACCAUUCAAACAUCAUCCCAGCUUAUUUCAAACCACAUGAAUAGCUGAACAGUGUUGUAAAAUAUCUUCCCCGCAGAAAUAACUAUCAGAUGCCAGGUUUGAUUAGUGCUUAAGUGCUGAAUAUCUAUGGAAGGAUCUAAAUGUUAUGAUUAUUACCAAUAUGCACUAAUUGCCAUUAAGAAUUUAUAAAAUUAAUUUGCUAUAUAUAAUAAUACCCAUAGACAAAUUAGGCUGUUCCUAAAUGGCUUAAAGAAAUUAGGCUAAAGAAAAGUUUGGAAUUUCAACAAAAAACUUAAAUCUACAAUAUAAGUCCGGCAACUCACUGCCAUACUUUUAUCCCAUUAAAUAGCAUAUCAGGAAACUUUCUAAUAAAAUGUGAUUUUAAUUUUU